rnacentral:rRNA from 1 species
UACGGGAGGCAGCAGUGGGGAAUAUUGCACAAUGGGCGCAAGCCUGAUGCAGCCAUGCCGCGUGUAUGAAGAAGGCCUUCGGGUUGUAAAGUACUUUCAGUCGUGAGGAAGGUGUUAAGGUUAAUAACCUUAGCAAUUGACGUUAGCGACAGAAGAAGCACCGGCUAACUCCGUGCCAGCAGCCGCGGUAAUACGGAGGGUGCGAGCGUUAAUCGGAAUUACUGGGCGUAAAGGGCACGCAGGCGGUUAAUUAAGUUGGAUGUGAAAUCCCCGGGCUUAACCUGGGAAUGGCAUUCAAGACUGGUUAGCUAGAGUCUUGUAGAGGGGGUAGAAUUCCAUGUGUAGCAGUGAAAUGCGUAGAGAUGUGGAGGAAUACCGGGUGGCGAAGGCGGCCCCUGGGACAAGACUGACGCUCAUGUGCGAAAGCGUGGGGAGCAAACAGGGAUUAGAUACC